UACAGAGGUCUCAAGCGUUGUUCGGAUUCAUUGGGCGUAAAGGGUGCGUAGGCGGCGGGGUAAGUCGGGUGUGAAAUCUCGGGGCUUAACUCCGAAACUGCAUUCGAUACUGCCGUGCUUGAGGACUGGAGAGGAGACUGGAAUUUACGGUGUAGCGGUGAAAUGCGUAGAUAUCGUAAGGAAGACCAGUGGCGAAGGCGGGUCUCUGGACAGUUCCUGACGCUGAGGCACGAAGGUCAGGGGAGCAAACGGG
rnacentral:rRNA from 1 species